rnacentral:misc_RNA from 1 species
GGUCCUUUCAUCUCUAACUCAAAUGUUUGAGCUAAUGUAACAUUUGUUUUUAGUAGUUGAAGUUGCAUUGAGGUUAGAAAGAUGGCCAAUUUAGAAGGUGCAAAAGACUGGUUAUUCUCUUGCUUGUGAUUUUUAGGGGGGUUGUAGAUGGAAAAUUGUGUUUGAAUUUUGUAGCUUUGAUGCGGUGAAAAAGACUUGAUUCAGCG